UGGAAAAGCACGAGUGCAGUGAGUGCCCAGU
rnacentral:piRNA from 1 species